rnacentral:rRNA from 1 species
GUGUCAGCCGCCGCGGUAAUACGUAGGGGGCUAGCGUUGUCCGGAUUUAUUGGGCGUAAAGCGCGUGUAGGCGGCUUGGUAGGUCCGCUGUGAAAGCCCGAGGCUUAACCUCGGGAGGUCGGUGGAAACCACCUAGCUAGAGUCCGGAAGAGGAGAGUGGAAUUCCCGGUGUAGCGGUGAAAUGCGCAGAUAUCGGGAAGAACACCCGUGGCGAAGGCGGCUCUCUGGGACGGUACUGACGCUGAGACGCGAAAGCGUGGGGAGCGAACAGGAUUAGAAACCCCCGUAGUCC